GAAUCUUAGACAAUGGGCGCAAGCCUGAUCUAGCCAUACCGCGUGAGCGAUGAAGGCCUUAGGGUUGUAAAGCUCUUUCGCCAGGGAUGAUAAUGACAGUACCUGGUAAAGAAGUCCCGGCUAACUCCGUGCCAGCAGCCGCGGUAAUACGGAGGGGACUAGCGUUGUUCGGAAUUACUGGGCGUAAAGCGCACGUAGGCGGAUUGGAAAGUCAGAGGUGAAAUCCCAGGGCUCAACCUUGGAACUGCCUUUGAAACUCCCAGUCUUGAGGUCGAGAGAGGUGAGUGGAAUUCCGAGUGUAGAGGUGAAAUUCGUAGAUAUUCGGAGGAACACCAGUGGCGAAGGCGGCUCACUGGCUCGAUACUGACGCUGAGGUGCGAAAGCGUGGGGAGCAAACAGGA
rnacentral:rRNA from 1 species